GGGAGGUUAACAACAAUGUGAUGUUUUAUUAUAGAUGCAUAUGAGGAGGCUCGACUAAAACAUUCACAAGCAACUGUGAUUUCUGACUGGCAGACAGAUGAGGAUGAUGAUCGCCCGUCAUACACCUAAAGAAAGUACAGCGUGACUGAAUGAAGAUUUAAAAUCACACAACAUCAUAAAGCAGCAGCUGGGCCUGAUUCUCACAAACCAGCAAAACCAAAACAGACGUGAUGAAAUUCCAGAUGUAAACACAUUUGACCUUCCUUUGUCCAAUUUUACUUGGAAAAGCUUAAAUCAACUAAAGGAGCAGCCCGAACAAAUGAAGAAACUGAUGCAGUGAGGACAAAUGUCCAUACCACGCCACUGAUAAAGAGAUUGGAAAAUGCAUUACACAGUGGCUACAACUUGCUCCUGACAGGGAUGGAGAAAGGAGGGAAGAAAAGAAAGCUAAUGUGUCAACUGUUUACAUCACUAUUCUAUUCUAUUCUAUUUUUUAAACAACAUUUUAUGUGUAUUAAGAUGUUCCCAGAUACUUGAG